AAUAAGACCAUUUUUUAGUUUUUUUAUAUAAUGUUUCGACUCUUCGUUUCAUUUGAAUUUUUUUUACGAUUAAUAUUUUUAUUCUUACUAAAUGAUAAAACAUAAAUAAUACUUUAUGUAUGACUAAUUUUUUAAGUUUUUAAUAAAUUUUUCAAAGAAGACGAAUGGUUAAAUAUUGUAUACAGGAAAAACG
rnacentral:pre_miRNA from 1 species